rnacentral:ncRNA from 1 species
UUUUCGACAAUGAUGGGACGAGUAGCUUGAAGGAUAUGCUUAAGCGAGCUGGGGAUGGUGUAAGCCCGGCACUAAGCCUGAAGUGAAGAACAGCCCUGAGUCUCCAACCGAAAUCCGCAUAGGAAAGUAGGCUUGGACGGAGCCAUACCGUUAUAGAAUGGGCAGUAUCGAUUUUAUUCAGGAAUCCGUGCUGGCAAAGUGGGUUGAAGCAAAUGCUUUCAACCAAUCAGGGUGGUACCGCGAAUUACCUUUCGUCCCUUUC